GGUAUAUAUACGCCUAUCGGGACAACAAUUUUCUCCAAAUGCUGAGAAAAAAUGGGCAGGCGUACGAUAGAAAAGAUAUAUGGCCGGUGUCAACAUUAGCUACUGAUGGGAGGUACUCGGAAUUCUACACUUGUUUAGGUAUGCCUGCAGGCGCGCUUCAAGAACCUGUAUUCAGAUAUAAUGCGUCAGGGUAAGUAAAUUCCUUCAGUGUAUUGAACUAUAUGCAGCAGUCGCUCAAGGGUAAAAACUCACUUCUUUAGCUGCUGAGAGCUUUCAUUCUAGGUA
rnacentral:lncRNA from 1 species